CGCUCAAUCCGGUUUUGUUUUUUAUCAUUUCUUUUUCUUUCUUUUUGGAACGGUAUGCGUACGGGAGAGAAAACUCGAGGAUGAAGCGAAGAGGAAUUUAAGGAAGAAAAUAAGCACGGUUCGACGCAUGACGGAGGUGCUUUGAUCUCAGUGCUGGCCGAAGCAAGCAAAUUGUGUGUCCUCAAAGGGACCGUGAUUGAAGUCACACGAACCGUGCAACGGUGCUUCGUCCGUUCCCUCCGUUUUAUUUUUUUAUUUAAGGAGUUACUUUCGGCAGCUUCCUGUGUAAAUAAUUACCCACCAACUACCGUCCGUAUCUCAAAUACUCCUUCGAUGUUAAACACGUGUAAUACUCUCCAUUAAAUUCCACUCAAAUUCAUAGAAAUCUAUUAGAAUGUUAUAUUGGGUUGGUAACUAAGUGAUUACGGAUUUUGUCAUUACCACCUAAUCACAAAAUCCGCAAUCACUUAGUUGGCAACCCAAUAUAUUGGCCAAAAGUUCCUUACGUUAUCUACGAGAUCAUACUGCAUACAAUGUAUUAACGAAACAUUCUAUAUGUAAAUUGUGUAGUUUUCAAAACAAAAAAGGUUUGAUACAACGCUUUUUUACGUGUCGAAAUCUAUGUUACAUGCAGAGAUACUGCAUCCCAUUUUCUCAACGAACAAAGGUCCAAAGACAGAGAAAGAGAAGAACGAUUAUUUUCCAACAUUUAUACAGACUGGGUUCCUCUUUUUCAGCUCGUGCUCUUUACACCGAUUUUAGAUGCACGCGUGCGACAAAGCGAAACGGAAACAACUAAGAAACGAAGCCCGUUUUUCAACGAGGAAUACUAGCAGAGGUGAUGCAGCAGACAGAAAUACCAGCGAAGAGACGAGGAGAGAAAAUAGGAACGUAUCCAAUUCUUGGGAUAUCCUCGGCUCGUCGUCGCCCUUUCCACUCGCAGUUUCCUCCAUGAAACGAAAAUCCAGCGGAGUUAAAUCGGGGGCAGCACUGGGCGCUGUACGGCCAAGGAUAUAUCCAGAGAUCUAAUCGAGGAAGAAGGGUGCUCGUGCUGCACCCUGCUGCAGUUCCAGGGUGAAUCAUGCCGCGAUACAAUCGAGCUCGUAGCGUAAAACGCGCCUUUGCGGUUCUGCGGUUCGUCGAUGGCCGCUGGUGUGCGAGCGACCUCGUCUAUGCGAAUCCAUUUGUAUCCUCUUCAUAUCAAGAUGCAAUCUGAUGAUUGGUCAAACGACCCUGCAAUUUACUCGAGUGUUCUCCGCGACUAUUCUUUAUCUCUUCUUUAUCGCCGUGCCACCGUGAUUACACCGAGCAAACGAUAAGUAGCCGCCUCGAAUUUCCGCGAGGAUGAUCCGCUUGAUGAUCUUGCCGAGUUUCUCGACGCCACUGGAGGAAUACCGUGGCCAGGAAUCGAGCUGUCGCUAGGGAACUUUCGUUUCGCCUGUCGAAACUUUAGUUUGACAAGAGUGUUAUUGGAACGAAGAGGCUUUUUAUUGUUUUUACGGAAUUUGUUUAUCUUCUAAUUUAAACGCUUUGAAUUUUCUGGAGAGGGAGAUAGAUGGAAGAUUUUGGCGAAUUCAUCGACGCGAAUGGAACGUUGUAUCCUCGUACGAUCGUAACAAAAAGUUCUCUUUAAUUUCCUAUGGAAACUCGGCGAAGGACAAAUUUUCCGAUAAAUAAUUUGUAUAUUAGAGUACUAUUAUUAGAAUAAUGCGAGAAAAUAACUCUUUGUAACAAACUUAAUACCUAUCGUUUUAUUUUUAGAGAAUUGUAACGUUAAAUAGCCAGUGGAUCAACACACCUGUACCAGGUAUUAUACGACAUCGACGUUUAAAAAUGAAACAGAUUAGAGGAUAAAGCGAUCGAAUUUUAUUUGAACUUGAGACAAAACUUUGUCUUUAUCGAAUCCCUUUGAACCUCUCGGUAAUCAGUCUCGCGUCCUACAUAAGAGCUGACACACAGAUUCUACCGAAGAAACAAAGAAAAAUUGCGGUAGAUUCGCCUCUGAACGUCUUUCAUGGUUACUUUAUAUCGGCUAUGCUAAUCUUAGAGGACGGUUGUCGUCUGCCACGUUCCAGGACCCUUGCUGCCGCUUUCACGCUGCCUCAACCCCCUCACGAUAACGUAAAUACUUCGUGGCGUACAACGAAAGGGUUGUCCGUACAGGUUAACCCGUAACCGUGACGUCGUAUUUAUAAAGAAAGGGUAGAGACUUUCUACGAGGAGAAAUAUGUACAGUGACUCGCGAAAGUAUUCGAAUAUUCUUAGAAUAUUUUUAGAUAUAUAUAAUAUUUAAAAUCUCAUUAGCACCGUAACUGAGACACAGAAACUAUCGUAAUUAUGAUAGUAAAAUUUGAAAUCAAUCUGAAAGUAUAUGUAGGAGUUGCAAGACAUUUGUCGUAAACCGAUAUUUAGUAAAAAAAAUUAGAGUAUCUCAUGAAUAGCAGUAAAGUUAAACAUACGAUUAGUGCUAUAGAUGGUCUCGCUAUCGUAUCGUAGUUUCCAAAAAGUUUCAUAGAAAACACAUAAUAUAUUCGUAAAAAAAAUUCCGUGGUAAGUUUUUGAAUUUUCGCGAACUUUCGUCAACCGCGAUAAGUUCGUGUAACGAGACGAAAGAACGGAGACAGUGAAGAGAUAUCGAGCUAACGAAAUUUAUACGUGACACUUGUGAGAUUCGUGGUACCGAACUCUGUCGUUUCGACAGCUUGUUCGAGUCGAAAAGAGGGUUGUUUGUUGGCUCGCCGAGAUAACGGUAUCGUCCGUAAAAUGUUCCUAGUUUUACGUUCGCUCCUAUUGACGCAUGAAUUUCAGACAAUAUAGUACUCGUAUUUUAAAUAAAUAUCAAUCUUCGUUAGUUAGAUGGAUAGUUUCUCGAUAAAAUUUACACGCGUUUUAUUAUCAUAUAUUUUUGGAAAGCAGAAUGGAUGAAUGUUGAGCUUCUGUGUUGGAAGUGGUCCUCUUAGAGUUGGGAAUGUUUGACGUGCUUUCUGAUUCCACAAGUUUUCAGUACGAUCGAUCGAUAGCUUUAGCACAUUUUUAACGAUAGAACUUUUUCAAGCUAAGAACUUCUGUUUCGAAAAGAGAAAUGCUUUAUUUGUAAAUUUAUUUAGCUAGUAACGUUUUCCCCUUUUCCGUAUUUUAUCGGUAGUAAAUGCGAUCGAGAUAAUAUUGUGCGUAUUAGACUCCACUCGUAUAAUACGAAGCGAUAAGAAGAAAGCAGUUAAUAGAAUAUUUAUACGAUAUACAUUGAUAAAAGAGCAAUUGAUAAAGUGCAUGGAGAAACUCGCCCCUAUAUUUUUCAUAUCCUAAUGUAAGAUAAAAAAACAUACGAUAUUGGAGAAGUUUAGAAAAUUGCAGCGGUACUCGUGAAUAAAGAAAAACGUAGCAGCUACGUGAUCAGAAAAGAAUGCCAUAAAACGUUCGAUAUAUCACUAUAUCGUAUCCUGUGAUUACUUGAAGGAGAAUACGGUAUUAUUUCGUGGUUUCAACAGGAUUUCCAUUUUAUACGGUAAAAAGAAUACGACGGCUCGCGUUAUUCUUCAUUUUGUCGCGCGAUUUGUCUACGUAGAGGUAUAAGAACGUACGGCAUCGUAAAACGAGCCGGAGAACAGCGAGGGUGAUAGAACAGCGUUCCCAGUGUCUCUGUGACGAUACACACACUCACAGUUGCCGGGUAAAUUAUCCCCUAUACACGACGCCACUCGAGCGCCAUGGUAACGUAAGCUCUCCAAGAACUGAAACGGAAUUUCUCUCUCCAUAUACGUAUGUAUAUACAUAUAUACAUAUAUACAUAUAUAUUUCUGUAUAUAUACAGAAACAAAUUAUAAUUGACGCAAAUCUAGUUGUGGCAAUGGUGAAACGUGCCUAAACAAGAACUUCUAGAAAGUAAUCACGAUCGAUAAUUGAACGAGAAAGCUUACGUUAUAAUAGAAGAGUAGGAAUAUUUUAAUAACAUAUUGUUAAUAACGUACGAAGUAUUAUCAUCUGAUGACAAAAUCCGCAAUCACUUAGUUGCCAACUCAAUAUAAGCGUAUAGGUCAUUAUAUAGGGUAAGUGAUAAUUGGAAAUAUUAGUAAUAUAAAAAUGAUAACAGACAAAGUUGACGCGUUUUGUGGAGGGGAUAUUGAUCAACUCCAUAAAUUGAAAGGUACGGAAGAGCGGCGAUGUUACAAAUAUUGAUUUUUAAACCUACAUUAGAAUUCACCGUUGUUGAAAUAAUUUUAGAUAAUUUAAUUAAUCGUUUAAUUUGAAAUGAAGUUGUAGAAGUAAAUCUCUUGUCCCUCGAUGAAUGAACGAUAAUCGUGUACUUAUGCGAUGAAAUUAAAAAAUUAAUAAGAAGUGGGGUUGCUCCGCUUGACUUUUGAGAGGCUCACGUUUCUCUACACCCUCGGUAUUUAUGAAAAUAUGCAUUGGUCGGAGAUUAUCGUCUCUUUUUCUGUAUAUUUAUAUCUUGAAAAGCAAAACAUUUUUGUCAAAAAAAAUGUUACAUGAGAAUAAUGGUAAAAAUUCUGCGCACGAAGCUCUUGAUUGCUGGUAUCAAAUUGAAUGAACAAAAAUAUUAGAUAACAAAGAGCAAAGCAAGCUGACCUAACGAACUAAUCAGGGGCUGGCUUACGUCCUUCGUUAGCGGCGACACAUGUAUCCGCAUAGGCUUUUCUACAAUGUAUUUAAUGUAUGCGAAGUCAUUCCUGAUUCAGCGAAGUUCCACGGCAUGGGAUGAAUCAUCCCCUCGUGCACCGGAGCUCGAGCACCGCGAUAACGUAGGCACUUUACAGCCUCGAACGAGAACGACGAGCCUUUCUGUCUUUCUCUCUUCGUGGUCUCUCCUCUUUGUCACUCUUGCGAAUUCCCGUCUCUGUUCCCCUUUCUCUAUUAAUUCGACGUGUUGCUGCGGUAACUACGGUGUCAGCAACAUUACCCGUUCCUGUAUCGAUGAGAUAGAAAUGUCAGCCGAACGGCUAACGAGGAUGCCACGUGCGGGGAUGCGACAGUCUCACUCGGAAAACAUUCGAAUAGAUAUCGUGCAAUUUUGGUGUAUCGAAACGAGGAGAGUCUUGAAAUGUUGAUACACUGGUUUAAUGAGUUAUCGCAGAAUUGGAUAUUUUAUUUUUAUAUAUGUUAAUGGUUAUUGGAAGUUACAUGGAAUUAUUGAAAAACCAGCUUUUAUCUGUUACUUCGUUCGCGUUAAUACUACUAAUAUACGGAAAUUUUUCAGCAGAUGAAUUUUUUGCGAACAAAAUGGAAUAGGUAAAAAAUAUUAAAUUGUAGAAUUGCUCGAUUUCAGAACAAACACGACGUAAAUAAUAAUCAUCGUUGCUUAACUUCUAGCAAACAUGAAAGCGCAUGCAACUCAAAUGCCAAGCUAUUUCUCAGCUUUUAGAAUACGAAUCGAGAUGAGAGAUGCCCUAUUUUCUUUUCCAGAUACUAGGCUAUACGACAGGGAAAACGCAACCAAAUCCGCUAGGUAGUUUUUACAUAAUAUGCGUGGGAUACUCAAAUUGUGAAUUGCGACUUGUCAGGGAAAGAGGGUCAAAUGUGAAAGGGAGAGCAGAAAAGAGAGGAACGGACAUGAAGGAAGGAACUAAGGAUGGGAAAUAAGGAAAGGAAUCUACACAAAGGAGAGGCGCAGUGGAACGGAAAAAAGGAAAAGAAAAGGAGAAAUGGGAGAAAACAAAGAGGGAAAAAAAUAGGAAGAAGAGAAGGAAGAGGAGACAGGAAAGGAAUGAAUGGAAGAAAACAUAUUUAUUUUACAACUAGUUACAUGUAUCGAUAUAAUUUAACUCGAAACGACAUUUGUUAUGCAGUAACGUAAUAAUUGGAAUGCAAUACUCGAUCCUGAACAGGCGUCGAGAUGCAAGCCACGAUCCUGUAAAAUUACCAAGCCAAUUCCAUGACACGAAUCGCACGACGCCGUGCAUUAACGCAGGCCGGCAUCGCGACGCAUUAAGCGAAAUAAUUUAUAGCGCGAAAUUGUAGUCUCCGGAGCUAGGGUGCCGGAUGACGUACGUAAGACAAAUGGCACAGAAACCAACGGUGGCCGUAAUCUCCGUACGUUCGCUGGAUAUCCGAAUGGCAGUCACCGAAUACGCAGAUCCCACGAUAUCGUUCCAUUAUCCUCGGGGCCGGCGCGAUGCACCACCUCAUCGGCCAUUCACAACACGAUUCUCUUGAUUCGACGGUUCAAUUAUCGAUUCUGAUCCGCCUCGU